rnacentral:rRNA from 1 species
GGAUGCGAUCAUACCAGCACUAAAGCACCGGAUCCCAUCAGAACUCCGUAGUUAAGCGUGCUUGGGCGAGAGUAGUACUAGGAUGGGUGACUUCCUGGGAAGUCCUCGUGUUGCAUUCC